CGCCAACCUUGGCUUUUUACCUGUUCAAACAACACACUCCAGGUGGCAGUAUGCACCCUUUCAGUUUGUUUACCAACUCAUAGAAGUAGUAGAAGAAGAAGAAAAAAUUGACAACUUCAAACGGAAGAUGGACUCAAUGUCAUUGACUGUGCGCUCACAGAUGCCAUAAUGGAACAGAUACAAAGAAAAGUCCUCUAUCAUUCUCAUGGUACUAGCUUGUAGGAUCCCUCUGAUUUCUCUCUGUGUGUGUGUUCACAAAGGCUAAAGUCUCUGCUGAUGUUGCUUCCCCCCUACGGUUCAGUGCCAUCGAUGCUCAGGAAGCAGAAGCAGUGAGUUACAAGUCAUAUGGGCACUCUCCACAAUCUCCUAGCCCAGCUGUUUUAGGUUUGAGAUCCCAGCAACCAUGUACCCUUCAGUCAAUCUAAUCUCCCAACUGUCGUGCUAGACGAGGAUAAGAGGCGAAUCAUAGAUCAACACAAAUCCAUGCAGAGAUUCACCCGAUACAGCUCCACCGGGAGGAGGAGGUGGAUGAGGAGGAGGUCGAUGAGGAGGAGGAGGAGGAGAGGAGGAGGAUGAUGAGAGGGAGGGGUGAGAGGAUGUCGGUCGGAGGUGUCCCUGAAAAUGUUUGUAUGUGUCUCCAGACACGGCCGGGUGUCAGCAGCAGAGCCACGUGGCCUGGCUCCGGAUGGCCCGACAGUAUGCAAAACGGCACCCUGGGAGAAUCAGCUCUUUCAAGUCCAAUUACCUGGUGGAGCCAGUUAUUUCAAAGGCCAUCAGUAGAAGAUGUCGAUUCCGAUAAGGACCUGGACACAUGUGUUCCAUCACACUGAUUCAAACAGGGUUUCCCAGCCCCAACUCUAAAACCCGGACAAAACCUUCAACCAGCCUCGAGCAAUUUGACAAAAACAAACUGAUUUAGCAAGGGACAUAACCGUAUUCAAAAUCAUAUUUAAAUAAAUUCUAACAGCGCAUACAAAUAUUUGUGUGGA